rnacentral:rRNA from 1 species
GAUGAACGCUGGCGGCGUGCCUAAUACAUGCAAGUCGAGCGAACAGACGAGGAGCUUGCUCCUCUGACGUUAGCGGCGGACGGGUGAGUAACACGUGGAUAACCUACCUAUAAGACUGGGAUAACUUCGGGAAACCGGAGCUAAUACCGGAUAAUAUAUUGAACCGCAUGGUUCAAUAGUGAAAGACGGUUUUGCUGUCACUUAUAGAUGGAUCCGCGCCGCAUUAGCUAGUUGGUAAGGUAACGGCUUACCAAGGCAACGAUGCGUAGCCGACCUGAGAGGGUGAUCGGCCACACUGGAACUGAGACACGGUCCAGACUCCUACGGGAGGCAGCAGUAGGGAGUCUUCCGCAAUGGGCGAAAGCCUGACGGAGCAACGCCGCGUGAAUGAUGAAGGUCUUCGGAUCGUAAAACUCUGUUAUUAGGGAAGAACAAAUGUGUAAGUAACUAUGCACGUCUUGACGGUACCUAAUCAGAAAGCCACGGCUAACUACGUG